AGUGAACGCUGGCGGUAGGCCUAACACAUGCAAGUCGAACGGCAGCACAGUAAGAUCUUGCUCUUACGGGUGGCGAGUGGCGGACGGGUGAGGCAUACAUCGGAAUCUACUUUUUCGUGGGGGAUAACGGAGGGAAACUUACGCUAAUACCGCAUACGACCUACGGGUGAAAGCAGGGGAGCUUCGGACCUUGCGCGAUUGAUUGAGCCGAUGUCGGAUUAGCUAGUUGGCGGGGUAAAGGCCCACCAAGGCGACGAUCCGUAGCUGGUCUGAGAGGAUGAUCGGCCACACUGGAACUGAGACACGGUCCAGACUCCUACGGGAGGCAGCAGUGGGGAAUAUUGGGCAAUGGGCGCAAGCCUGAUCGAGCAAUGCCGCGUGAGUGAAGAAGGCCUUCGGGUUGUAAAGCCCUUUUGUUGGGAAAGAAAAGCAGCAGGUUAAAACCCCGCUGUUCUGACGGUACCCAAAGAAUAAGCACCGGCUAACUUCGUG
rnacentral:rRNA from 1 species